GACGAACGCUGGCGGCGUGCUUAACACAUGCAAGUCGAACGAUGAACCCGGAGCUUGCUCCGGCGGAUUAGUGGCGAACGGGUGAGUAACACGUGAGUAACCUGCCCUUGACUCUGGGAUAACUGCGGGAAACUGUAGCUAAUACCGGAUACGACCCUCGGCGGCAUCGCCAGGGGGUGGAAAGAAUUUCGGUCAAGGAUGGACUCGCGGCCUAUCAGCUAGUUGGUGAGGUAACGGCUCACCAAGGCGACGACGGGGAGCCGGCCUGGGAGGGAGGCCGGCCAAACGGGGACUGUGACAGGGCCCAGACUCCGACGGUAAGCAGCAGUGUGGAAGAGUGUACACAGUGCGCAAGCCUGAUGCAGCAACGCCGCGGUAGGAAUGACGGCCUUCGGGUUGUAAACCUCUUUUAGUAUGGAAGAAGCGAAAGUGACGGUACCUGCAGAAAAAGCACCGGCUAACUACGUGCCAGCCGCCGCGGUAA
rnacentral:rRNA from 1 species